GACGAACGCUGGCGGCGUGCUUAACACAUGCAAGUCGAACGGAAAGUCCCUGCUUUUGUGGUGUGCUCGAUUGGCGAACGGGUGAGUAACACGUGAGUAACCUGCCCUUGACUUUGGGAUAACUUCAGGAAACUGGGGCUAAUACCGGAUAUGAGCUCCUGCUACAUGGUGUGGGUUAGAAAGUUUGGGCGGUUGGGGAUGUACUGUGUGCUUAUUAGCUUGUUGGUGGGGUAGUGGCUUACCAAGGCUUUGACGGGUAGCCGGCCUGCGAGGGUGACCGGCCACAUUGGGACUGAGGUACGGCGCAGACUCCUACGGGCGGCAGCAGUGGGGAAUCUUGCACAAUGGGCGGAAGCCUGAUGCAGCAACGCCGCGUGCGGGAUGCCGGCCUUCGAGUUGUAAACCGCUUUCGCCUGUGACGAAGCGUGAGUGACGGUAAUGAGUAAAGAAGCAACGGCUAACUACGUG
rnacentral:rRNA from 1 species